rnacentral:rRNA from 1 species
UUAAGCGACUAAGCGUACACGGUGGAUGCCCUGGCAGUCAGAGGCGAUGAAGGACGUGCUAAUCUGCGAAAAGCGUCGGUAAGGUGAUAUGAACCGUUACAGCCGGCGAUGUCCGAAUGGGGAAACCCAGUGUGAUUCGUCACACUAUCGUUAACUGAAUACAUAGGUUAACGAGGCGAACCGGGGGAACUGAAACAUCUAAGUACCCCGAGGAAAAGAAAUCAACCGAGAUUCCCCCAGUAGCGGCGAGCGAACGGGGAGCAGCCCAGAGUCUGAAUCAGCUUGUGUGUUAGUGGAACGGUCUGGAAAGUCCGACGGUACAGGGUGAUAGUCCCGUACACCAAAAUGCACAGGCUGUGAACUCGAAGAGUAGGGCGGGACACGUGGUAUCCUGUCUGAAUAUGGGGGGACCAUCCUCCAAGGCUAAAUACUCCUGACUGACCGAUAGUGAACCAGUACCGUGAGGGAAAGGCGAAAAGAACCCCGGCGAGGGGAGUGAAAAAGAACCUGAAACCGUGUACGUACAAGCAGUGGGAGCACCUUCGGGUGUGACUGCGUACCUUUUGUAUAAUGGGUCAGCGACUUAUAUUCUGUAGCAAGGUUAACCGUAUAGGGGAGCCGCAGGGAAACCGAGUCUUAACUGGGCGUUAAGUUGCAGGGUAUAGACCCGAAACCCGGUGAUCUAGCCAUGGGCAGGUUGAAGGUUGGGUAACACUAACUGGAGGACCGAACCGACUAAUGUUGAAAAAUUAGCGGAUGACUUGUGGCUGGGGGUGAAAGGCCAAUCAAACCGGGAGAUAGCUGGUUCUCCCCGAAAGCUAUUUAGGUAGCGCCUCGUGAACUCAUCUUCGGGGGUAGAGCACUGUUUCGGCUAGGGGGUCAUCCCGACUUACCAACCCGAUGCAAACUACGAAUACCGAAGAAUGUUAUCACGGGAGACACACGGCGGGUGCUAACGUCCGUCGUGAAGAGGGAAACAACCCAGACCGCCAGCUAAGGUCCCAAAGUCAUGGUUAAGUGGGAAACGAUGUGGGAAGGCACAGACAGCCAGGAUGUUGGCUUAGAAGCAGCCAUCAUUUAAAGAAAGCGUAAUAGCUCACUGGUCGAGUCGGCCUGCGCGGAAGAUGUAACGGGGCUAAACCAUGCACCGAAGCUGCGGCAGCGACACUAUGUGUUGUUGGGUAGGGGAGCGUUCUGUAAGCCUGCGAAGGUGUGCUGUGAGGCAUGCUGGAGGUAUCAGAAGUGCGAAUGCUGACAUAAGUAACGAUAAAGCGGGUGAAAAGCCCGCUCGCCGGAAGACCAAGGGUUCCUGUCCAACGUUAAUCGGGGCAGGGUGAGUCGACCCCUAAGGCGAGGCCGAAAGGCGUAGUCGAUGGGAAAACAGGUUAAUAUUCCUGUACUUGGUGUUACUGCGAAGGGGGGACGGAGAAGGCUAUGUUAGCCGGGCGACGGUUGUCCCGGUUUAAGCAUGUAGGCUGGUUAUCCAGGCAAAUCCGGAUAAUCAAGGCUGAGGUGUGAUGACGAGGCACUACGGUGCUGAAGUAACAAAUGCCCUGCUUCCAGGAAAAGCCUCUAAGCAUCAGGUAACAUCAAAUCGUACCCCAAACCGACACAGGUGGUCAGGUAGAGAAUACCAAGGCGCUUGAGAGAACUCGGGUGAAGGAACUAGGCAAAAUGGUGCCGUAACUUCGGGAGAAGGCACGCUGGUGUGUAGGUGAAGCCCCUGCGGGUGGAGCUGAGACCAGUCGAAGAUACCAGCUGGCUGCAACUGUUUAUUAAAAACACAGCACUGUGCAAACACGAAAGUGGACGUAUACGGUGUGACGCCUGCCCGGUGCCGGAAGGUUAAUUGAUGGGGUUAUCCGUAAGGAGAAGCUCUUGAUCGAAGCCCCGGUAAACGGCGGCCGUAACUAUAACGGUCCUAAGGUAGCGAAAUUCCUUGUCGGGUAAGUUCCGACCUGCACGAAUGGCGUAAUGAUGGCCAGGCUGUCUCCACCCGAGACUCAGUGAAAUUGAACUCGCUGUGAAGAUGCAGUGUACCCGCGGCAAGACGGAAAGACCCCGUGAACCUUUACUAUAGCUUGACACUGAACAUUGAGCCUUGAUGUGUAGGAUAGGUGGGAGGCUUUGAAGCGUGGACGCCAGUCUGCGUGGAGCCAACCUUGAAAUACCACCCUUUAAUGUUUGAUGUUCUAACGUUGGCCCCUUACCGGGGUUGCGGACAGUGUCUGGUGGGUAGUUUGACUGGGGCGGUCUCCUCCCAAAGCGUAACGGAGGAGCACGAAGGUUAGCUAAUCCUGGUCGGACAUCAGGAGGUUAGUGCAAUGGCAUAAGCUAGCUUGACUGCGAGCGUGACGGCGCGAGCAGGUGCGAAAGCAGGUCAUAGUGAUCCGGUGGUUCUGAAUGGAAGGGCCAUCGCUCAACGGAUAAAAGGUACUCCGGGGAUAACAGGCUGAUACCGCCCAAGAGUUCAUAUCGACGGCGGUGUUUGGCACCUCGAUGUCGGCUCAUCACAUCCUGGGGCUGAAGUAGGUCCCAAGGGUAUGGCUGUUCGCCAUUUAAAGUGGUACGCGAGCUGGGUUUAGAACGUCGUGAGACAGUUCGGUCCCUAUCUGCCGUGGGCGCUGGAGAAUUGAGGGGGGCUGCUCCUAGUACGAGAGGACCGGAGUGGACGCAUCACUGGUGUUCGGGUUGUCAUGCCAAUGGCACUGCCCGGUAGCUAAAUGCGGAAGAGAUAAGUGCUGAAAGCAUCUAAGCACGAAACUUGCCCCGAGAUGAGUUCUCCCUGAGACUUUAAGUCUCCUGAAGGAACGUUAAAGACGAUGACGUUGAUAGGCCGGGUGUGUAAGCGCAGCGAUGCGUUGAGCUAACCGGUACUAAUGAACCGUGAGGCUUAACCUU